GGAUUGUGGCUCAGCGGUAGAGCGCUCGCCUCGCAUGUAUGAGACACUGGGUUCAACUUUCAGCACCA
rnacentral:tRNA from 1 species